AAAAUUGCAUAUAAUCAGACUCAAAAAUGGCUGGUGGUGGUGCUGGGCCAAGUGAAGCACAAUUCAAAGGAUGGCAGAAAUACUUUAAUACCUACACCAUUCGUGGAAGAUCAAAUAUAACAUUUGCCACAUAUGGUGCUCUAGCUCUGCUUGGUCUGUAUAUGUACCUGAAGCCAAAAAAGAAGCAAUAAAGUUGAAAUUCAUUUAAUUUCUAUAUUGUCACUAGUGUAAUGAAAUUAAAAUGUCAAAACUGCAAGAUUAUGUCGAGUUGUAAUAAAAUGUAAACAUACAAUAG
rnacentral:lncRNA from 1 species